GUGUGAUCUGCCCUUUUACUGAUAUAUAUACUCAGGCAAAUAUCUUGAGUAGCAUGGAUAACUGUAAUGAUAAUUAUUUAAAAACCUAGCACAAAAAUAUUACAAAACACUAGUCUUUUAUUUUUGUAAAGAAAACAACAAGUCGGCGAGAGUACAAACCUGAUAUUAUAGGGUAUUAAAAAACAGCCAUUAAGACAUUUUGCCCUGGAAAUUGGUAUUUUCGGAGAUGGAAAUUAUAGUCCUGUGCUUCCUGCCAACAGUCUGUAGGCAACAAGGUUUUUCUUUUCAACUGUUAAUUUAUUUUUCUCUAAAGAAUGUGUGUACAUGAGUUAACCAAGCUUGCCCCAUACCUGCUUUUUUGAGCAGAACUAUCUUUCUAGUAGUGCUCUAUAGGAGCAAAGCUCCCUCCCACUUCACAGAAGAUGGCACCAUUCAGAAAGAGUUGUUUCAGAACAUACCUGGUUUAAUGAUAGGAUCAGUGAACACAGCAGUGUUUUCUUGGCAACAGGUUGAAAAGCUUGCAGCUAAACAGUUUCUUUGGAACAGUUUAUUGGCAUUCCAUCUCUGCAUUAGAAACUUGGAUUUCACUUCUUAUUUUGUUUUUCUGUUCCCCUGGUUCAUUUCCUCUAUCAUUUUUUUCCUAAUGAUACAUAAAAAUAACAUGCUGCGUUCUUUGUCCUGAGCAGAGAAUUAACUGUGUUGCUCUUUGAAUUUGUAAGGAGGCAGAUUUGGUAAGAAUUCUAGUUAUAGGUAUACAUUAUCCAAUAAUGAAAAAGGUAGCUAAAUGAAAAUCAUCAACAGCAUAGGUGGAAAGGAAACAAUUUAAAGAGGUAAGUUUUAAAUGUUUAACUUCCAUUAUCACCACUGCUGAACUUAUAUUCUGUGCAUAAGCAUUUUGCCUUAGAAUUUAAUUUUGCCCUCCUGCUGAAAUGAAAUACUUAAAUUCAUAUUUUGAAGUUGGCAAAUCGAACUUAAGGGCAAUGCUUAUUAGGCUAAGACAUUCUGCUGUGUCUUGUGAACGCAAAGUGUUAGCAUUUGGUUGCUUUUUUAAUCUGAAUUGUUAAACAGGCAUUUUCCACAUCCAUGCACUUCCCUAAGAACAAGGCAAAAAAUAGUCAGAGUCAUUGAGGAAAAGGACAAGAGUUAACAGCUGGCUAGUAUGGCUUCUGGAAAACUAAACUUUUCUUAAUGCUUGUCACAGCAAUAGCACAAAAACUCAGUUUGAAGUUUGCAUGACUGUAUAAUGUAUUCAUUAGUUGUUAUAAUGUUUUUCACCAAAUCUGGAAAUAAUACAAGAAAGAAUUGUUGUUCAAAUAGUUUACUCCACAUUUAUGAAGAAGUACUAUUCCUGGUAAAAGUUAGAAAAAUCUCAUUGGUAGCCAAAGUGAACAGUCUACUUUUGUCAGAUCUCAUACUUGAAUGUGGUGCAGGAAUGUAACACCUGUCCUGAAUUGCCCAGGACCCUCAUGUUUCCAGGGCUACAUGCUUACUAGAGUCCAGUCCUAUCUCAGCAAUUUUCUGUGUUCUGCAUCUGGAAUGAAUAUUCUGUUUCCACCUUCAUAUCUCAAGAAAUAUUUUUUGGGUGUAUCUUCAUUUUAUCUAUUUCUUCACAUAACGCUUAUUGAAUUAUAUGACAUUUACUAUGAUGUCUCAAUAGUGCAGUUUUUUUUUUUUCUGCAAGGGUUGUAAAUCAUCUGCAGAAUAGAUGUUUGGCUACCUCCAACAUUUCUGAUAUUAAAUGUGAGAAAAAUGCUUUUUGUUAACUGGAGCCAUGUGUACAUAUGCAGAUUAUUUUUGAGCCAUGUACUGCAGAAAAUGUAACUCUGUUUCUUGUAUUUCACACAAAUAUUUUUGUCUGAUAUAUCUCUUUCAUCAUAGCUUUCAUAUUUUCAUAUUACUUCUUUUAACUGAGUUGCAUUACAGCUGUUUACAGUACCAAGCCACAUAAGAGUUAGAAACAGAGGAAAUGGGAAAAGUAAGAAUAAACAGUUUAAUUCUUAAUCAGCUACUGCUUUUGAUACUUUAAACAUGGUGAUCGCUAAUGCGGAAAGCUCUGGAAGCCUUAGUAAGCUGGCUUGAUCAUCUGAAGAAUGCCAGUACUUCUUAGGGAAAGUUCGUGAUUCAUACUCAAGGAUUAAGCCAAGAGAAUCUUGUGACCUAAGCAGCCUGGCUCUCCACUGGUAAAAAUGGGAUUUUCUUAUCUUCACAAAAAUAAUAAUUGAGACAGAGAGCAGGGAUGGAAACAGACAGUAUACAUUUGAUUGCAGAGCUAGCAAUGCUCAAACAGCAUAAGGGAAAUGGCAGUUUUGGCAAAUUGUGAGUGUCGUGAUAGAAAAAUAAACUACAGUAUGUGAAGUGUUCCUCAGAGAUGAAUCACAGCGUGUCUGAGAAGCAGCAGAAAUAUGAACUGUAACAAAAAACGAUAGAUAUUUUGUCUUCAGUGUCUUGGGUGAUCCUUAGGAAAUGUUUAGUCGUUCACCUGGUAAUUCAGGAAACAGCUCCUCCCUGGGUAUCGAUCUCUUCAAAAUGAUUGCAUUAACGUGUAUUUCUUUAUGGUAGGUCACCAGUGCAAGAAGUGUGAGAUUUGGAGUGAUGACAUGAAAUCGAAUCCUAUUUCUAAUAAUAAACAUUUACUUGACAGAGUCAGUCAACUUCAAUAUUAUAGUUUCUCCAUUUCUACAACUGAGAUAAUAAUUUAGCUUUUUAUUUAUUUGUUUAGAAUCUUGCAAAAAUUACCUUUGAAAUAUGAGCAAUAAAGGAUACAACACAUGGGAGCAUUGCAAACUGACUCCCCGACCAAGAAAGUUGCAUAAACGCAUAUCCUUUGGCAGAGCUCACUGAUAUAAACAACCUUGGUUAUAUUUAGAUCCACAUCUAGGUGCCUUGCCACCUCUGUCAUCUCUCUUUAUUCUUAUUUUAGGGUUUUAACUACUUAUAUUUAAUAGAUCAUAAGGAAAUAGAAGAUACAAAAGCACUAGCUAUCAUUACUUUUUGAGACAAGCAAAACAUUAUUGGUGCAUUAUAACUCCAGUCUUGUUUUGCAUUAAUUUCCCUUAAAGGGAGGAUCAAUAUUAGCAAGCAGAACUGUAAUCAUUGUGUAAAUCUGAUUUUUCUGUUGGUUUCUUUAAAAAUCGUGCAGUCAAAUUACUUAGCAUUUCCUUAGCAUUCACAGUGCAGAAACAUCUGAUAGGUACGGAGAGAAUUUUCAGCAGCAGCUUUUGUGGGGACUGCAUAGGCAGGUAACAGCAAACUCCUUUCUGGGUAGUGCUGUGCUGGCAAAUCAGUGAUGAGGGAAUGAUGCUGCAAGGGACACAUGUAGGCACAGUAGUAAUUUUGAUAACAUCCAACUGUUCUGUUGAGGAAAAUGUACAUUUAAAGCUUCUGAUCUGAUUUCUUCAGGGAAAAAUUACCAUCGUUAUGUUCCUGGACUCAGUUGCAACAUCUCAAAUUCAUGUUUAUUCAUACAUGCCUUUGUAAUCCUGUUGAGUUGCAGUGGGAAUUAAACAAAUUGUACAACAAAAAAGUAUAAAUCAUUGCAGUACAUAAAGCAGUUUCCAUCACUGCUCCUAGAAACUACUCAAAUAACAGUAAUGUUUGAUCUUCUGUAAAACAUAUCAGUGCAUUUAAAUUUUAAUUCUCUUCUGUGAUGUUUGGAGAAAAAGUAGACAAAUUGCAUUAAGAAAGUCAGUUUCCAUACAACGUUACUUUAAACAGUUUCAGAAAUUACAGGCUAAAUCUUUAAAAAUUUUCCUUCAGUUUCAGCAGUGCACCAUGCCUUGGUGAGAAGUGGAAGCAGACCUUUAGAGAUGCAUCCUGGACACUCCUUUUGCCCCCCUUGGUGAAAGAAGGAUGGGAUGCUGCCAGGACAGCCACAGUUUCUGCAACACAAAGCUGAAAUUACAAGAUUGUUGUCGUAAGAAAGCAGAAACAGUGUAUGGCACUCCGUGCCCUGCAGUGCUGCCGUUCUUCCGUUGUUUUUACAAACAUUGCUACCUUUCUAGGCAGCCAGGGCUGCUAAUUUCUUCUCAUUACAACUAUAUGAAAAAGAAGUGAGAGAUACCUCUAGUACACCAAUAUUAAUAUGGUGAAUAAUUAAGCCAUCAAGAAAACUGUAUAUGUUUUCAAAGAAGCCAAGCACCUGCACACGGACAAUUUCUGUCUUAUAGCUGUGUUUGAGAAUAGUGAGAAUGGGGAAAAAAAGCCUUUGCUGUAUCUCCUUCAAGACAGACAGGAGUGUGUUUAUUUUCACCAAAUAUCCAUACACAUAUGACACUCUCUCAGAAAUGGACAGUUGCUGGAAGAGUAACACCUUUUUAUUCCUUAUGAUAUAUGUCCCGCACGUGCAUCUCCUGUAUGUGUGCAAAUACAGGAGGAAGGAAGUCCUGGAAGACUUGGGAGCUCUCAGUGGGAAACCAAGGCAAAGGGCACAGUUCUCAUACAAAUGGGCAAAGGCAUCUGGGCCUCAUUGAAGUCUUGCAAAUAAUUAAGAAUAUUAGACCUCUGGUUACUGAUCAUCUUGCAGAAGUGGUGGCAUAUCUUGCAAUUACAUUUUAAGCAACAUUAAACGCAACCAAAAAUAAGAUCCUGCAUAUCAUCACCUGAUAUGUCCCAAACCAACACCUUAUUUUUUUAACCCUGCACUGCUGCGUAACUUCAGCUGAAUUGCCACGCUUGUCUGAAGUGCUCACAUGGACGCAGUUUGAGUAGGUCAGUGCUGGAAGUGCCUCUGCCUGCAAGCUUAGUGUGACAGCUGCAUCCAGGUGUCAGUCUGUAACUUCAGCAAAUAAUUAACUGCUACCGAAUGCCACAGCCACCACAGGCACACUUACAGUGACCAAGAGCGUGCUCCUGAAUCCCGUGUGCUGCAGACAUCGGCCGCCUCUCACACUGUACAAUUUAUAGUGUCCUUCAUUCUGUCAUCAAUAUACGUGUGCUACAGUUGGAGCCACAAUAAAGCUCAACUUAUCCACUAACAACCUUUAAACACCUACUAGAAUUUCAUUUAAAAGUCACCUACAAGUACAAAUUAUGCUUAGAUCCUUUAGGCUGCUGGUAUCAAAAUGUAAGCAGUAGCGUAGACUUGAAUAGCCUUACCAAGCUCAGACUUACUCGUCACAGCAUGCUAUAACAUCUUUUAUCAGUACACAAAUUAGUCAUCUUCACAUUGAUUUAAAGAUACAGACCAUGCACACGCACAUGCACACGCACACACACUGGGCACGCACUGAAGAAACAGGCUGUCUGGAGAGGGAGAGACGUGCAACUGACAUAGUUUGUCAGCAAAGGAACUGUGGAGGGGACAACAGAAAUGUUCCUUCAGGUUGGACCAUUUUCUGCGGGUUUAAGCUGUCUCUCUUUGCUAGAAAUAUCUUUUCUUUUCUCCCAGUUCACUUAUGCCAAACAACUACUCUUUGAAACAUCACUUUGUCUUCUGCUAGGUUUUUAUGGAGAAAAAAACAGAGACCUUUUAUAAGCUACAACAGUGCUUAGAAAGCCAUUUCAUGUUUAAUUUGGGGGAUGCUAGUGUUACCUGUCCACAUUUUACUGCUGAAGGUGACGUUAAAGUUGAAAUAUUGUUGCAUAUUUAAGUGUGCAGUAGCCCGUUACUGAGUGCAGCAGUAGCUUAGUGCUAAGUUUAGUGUCCAUUGUAAGACCAGAACGCAUUGGUUUCCUUUGCAGAACAAAGUGACCACCAAAAGCGGGACUUUGUG
ensembl:lncRNA